AUUGAACGCUAGCGGGAUGCCUUACACAUGCAAGUCGAACGGCAGCGCGGACUUCGGUCUGGCGGCGAGUGGCGAACGGGUGAGUAAUGUAUCGGAACGUGCCCAGUAGCGGGGGACAACCACUCGAAAGAGUGGCUAAUACCGCAUACGCCCUACGGGGAAAGGGGGGGAGUCGCAAGACCUCUCACUAUUGGAGCGGCCGAUAUCGGAUUAGCUAGUUGGUGGGGUAAAGGCCUACCAAGGCGACGAUCCGUAGCUGGUUUGAGAGGACGACCAGCCACACUGGGACUGAGACACGGCCCAGACUCCUACGGGAGGCAGCAGUGGGGAAUUUUGGACAAUGGGGGAAACCCUGAUCCAGCCAUUCCGCUGUGCGAUGAAGGCC
rnacentral:rRNA from 1 species